ensembl:lncRNA
AAGGAACUGUGGCAACUACAGAGCAAGGAGUCAUGUGCAAGUAAUUGCAGGAGUUCAGAGGCUGUGGCUUUAAGAACUCCACAAGUUAUCCUAAGAAUGGGAAAGAAUUUUUCAGAUGGUGACCUAGAAAGUGGGAGUUUUUUCUGGAGACUGAGACUAGAAUUGAGAAAUGCUGAAUGCUAAUGAAAGCUGAACUGGAAAAACAGACUAGAAAAAAGGACCCAACCUGCAAGGAAAAGAUAAAGAGAAAAAAAAGCAGGGAGAGGUGAACAAGGCCAAAAGAACGUAAACCAAAGAAGUAAACUCUGCAAAUCUUGAUGAAUACAACUCCACUGGAUGUUGCAGCCAGUCACGGUUCUGGUGAACUUUUACUCACACCGCUUUGAAAUUGUUGAAAAUGGACUAAGAAAUCAUCUGUUGCUGGAUAAUACCCAGUUGUUUAUUUAUACACAUUAAGUAGAUAUCGUUUACAGAUGUAUAUAUCUGGACACUGCAUUGCAUGAUGGUUUGGACUCACUUUCUUGCUACCUUUGACCUUGUCUGUACAAAUCAUACUUCACAAUGUCAUCUGAUGUGAAUGUACAUAGGAAGAAUGAAGUUUUUU